AAAGAAGCUUGAAAUUAUCUAAGACAUGAGAAAUUAGGAGGUGCUGCGCGAGACAGAAAAUUGAUGGAGAACGUUGGGGUAAAUCUACGCACGGCCGACCAGGUUCAAAGUAGUGUAGGUCAGCCACGACAACUUAAGCGAGCAAGUGAACAGCCAAGCCUCAAACACCGCAACAAGGAAUGGACCGGUAAACGGUACGGACCAAAGGUCGUUUGGGAGAAUCCUGUCCGAGCAGUGGAAUACACUGAUGAGACUCGUAUCUACCCCAUAUACCGCUAUAAAUACGUCAUUCACCCAUGGACUCAGGUAUUCGAGAAUCGUUCUAAGUGUUGCCGGCCUACCUCAGAGCUCGUCUUCCGUACCUCGGUAGAAUUUUGCAUCAACAUAGAACUUAAAAAAAAUACCUUGGAAGACCGUAAUCUUAUUGAUUUGGGUUAUCAAGGAAGUCAUUUCACUUGGUGUAGAAAUUGGAGUUCAGAGGCUCCGAUUCACAAACAAUUGAUCGUUUCUUAGCUUGGAAGAUGGGGGAAGUUUGUUAAUAGAGAGUUGAGCAACCAAAUAAGGAGCUAGAAAAGUGCCUUAGCAGAGGCUUACAAUCAACAAUCUCAUCUAGAUUUCACUUUUAUUUCAUCAUUGAGAGGAAUCUCUUGACAAGAUUUAUGAGGAGGACGAGGUUUAUUGGCGACAGGACUCACGAGAAAAUUGGUUUCAGUGGAGAGACAGACACACAAGUUGGUUUCAUAGGAAGGCUUAUGCGAGGAAGAAAAAAAAUGAGAUCAUGGGCAUAAUUGAUAAAGAUGGAAACUGGGUGACAAGUGCAAAAGAUAUUGAGAGAAUGUUCAAAGAGUAUUUCCCCUCGAUCUUCGCCUCUGUAAAGUCGACAAAUGGCAGAAUGGUUGCCAUUCUUCAGUGUAUUUCUAUUGGACUUAUGUUAGUUUGACAGGUAGGAAGUUUGUUAUAUUUUUUAUUGUAAUUUGUCAAUGGCCUAUAUAUGGUCUACUUAUAAUAAAGUAAAGUA